CGAUUUAACCACAAAGAAUAAUAAUUUAUUUAUUUUUGCAACAGCAAUAACAAUCGUGCAUGUACUUAUAUAAAAAUGCUCAUCAACUAUUUAUGGAAAUAAAAAUGUUGUAUUGUGAGAAAGUGUUGCGCCCUUGAGUGGAAUGCUACAAGUGUCGUCUGCUACGAGGCCUGCUCGCUGCAAACGCGAGACUUUUCUCGCAGACGACAGGCACUUGCUAACUCUCUCUCGCUCUUUCGAAAGGCUGCGUCAGCUGUCACGAUUGCUGAACGUCUUCACAUACUUUUAAGCACAUCUGCUGCAGUGCUACCUAGGACGCUGGUGGCCUCCUACCAAUAUGCUUCAUCAUAUUGUAUAUUGACGUACCGCUUCCGAAGCGUUAUGGCGUGGCUUUGCACUUACCCAUUUUGCGACACUAGACUACAGCCAGGAAGCAGCAACAUUUCCUACCACAACUUCUGCUUAUUUCCUCUGCCUGCACCUUAUAUUUGUUGUGUUUAUCAAGACCUGGCCUGUCUCUGCCUCGUUGAAGGCAAAUGGACACAAGUACUGGUUGCUGUUGGUUUGUUUGGUUUGCUCAGUCUGAGCGUGAUAAGGGAGGCAGCUUUUGCAUCUGCAACAGAACAUUGGUGGAUGUUGUGUGAAGCACUUUCUCCAUGCUUUUUCACUACCUGAGCAAGGUAACUUUCUUGGUGCUUCAUCACGCAAUUUAUACAAUCAACUUCCAUUAAUUCUACCCUCACAAGACUGACGGGUCGAAUUAAGAUGCAAAAACCUGCUGAAGCACCGUUGAUUCAUUUGGCAACAUGUGCUUGAGUAACACGCCUCUGAAACGAACGUGCAUCAAAUUUCUAUUUGUCCACAGUAUAAAACUAAAGUAGAAAUGACUUAACUCCAAACCAAAGUAGAAACCUACGCGUACCUCAUUUUUUAGAAUGACAGCUGAUUUUCCAAAGCCAGCUUCGCCGUAUUACAGCCAUGAUAUGUGGUAAAGCAUAUGAAUGGUGCAACCACGGUUUUAGUUUCGCAAUCGAUUGCACAGCUAGGCAAUUUUCGUCUCAAUGUCCUUCGAAAACAAAAAGUGUUCGUUAGAAUCAGAUAAGUACCACAAUCGGACAUUGUCAGCUACCGUUACUGCUUGAAAAUCUUUCUCGGGUGGGUCAAAAAUAGGCAUUUCAGAGAGAUGGCAUUUGUUUAACGCAUUCACUGUCCCCUAAGCUCUACUGAGACAUGGGCUGCCACUAAAAGGGGUCAUUAUUGGGGUCUGGUCAAGUUCGCAUUAUCCGGCGAAUGCCAGUUUUAGGAUCGAAGUGAUGAAUGUUUAAUUCCAUAGAAAUGCAUGGGCGUCAGCCAGGUUCGAAUUAACUGAAAAAAUUAAAUUAACCAGAGUCAGGUUAUUAGAAGGUUACUAUACACCCUUUUCUGUUCUCCAAGAAGUUGCCAUUUUAAUAUGUAGUUUUCUUCUAUCAGUGUGGCAAUGGUGCUAAAUUUAGCAUUUGUUUGAAUCAUCCAUUGUUCCAAGGACAAGCUACAAAGUAGGGGCACACUUUUAGACUUGAAACAUUUCCACAUAUAAAGGCAGGGCAUGUUAACAUCUGUACAAUUAACAUAAGUUGGCUGUAUUGUCUGCAUAGCAUGUGGUUGCCUUUUUGGAAUGUGGUAUUCCUGUAAAACAAAGUUGCAUUUGUUUCAAAUAAAUUGCUGAACCAUU